rnacentral:rRNA from 1 species
CUUUCCUUCUUCAAGUUUCCCAAGUGGGCUCUGGACUUGAUAAAUAGUAAGUUAGCCCAUUGCCUAUGGAGUGAUUUUGAGGGGAAUAGAAAACUCCACCUGGCCAAUUGGCAUCUAGUCUGCAGGAAGAAAGAUCAUGGUGGACUAGUGGUUCAUAACAUCAAGGAUGUUAAUCUUUGUUUGUUCGGAAACUGGGUGAAGAGAUAUAUUAAGCAUAAAGGAAAAUUUUGGAGAACCAUCACAAAUAAGAAGUAUGUGAGGGACUCUGCCAAUAGCUUUGCUAGUAAUACCCAUGACUCUUCCAGAUUUUGGCAGGGGGUCAUGUGGGCUGCCAAAGCUCUUAGAUUUGGGAAUAGAUGGGUGGUAGGAGAUGGAUCCAAUAUCAAAUUCUGGGAGGAUAUUUGA